UUGGUGCAAUAAGUAAGCCCUUGGUCCUAACACUUGUGAACCAAAAUAGACAUUGAUAAAAUAUGUUGGUGUAUAGUUUCAAUAUGUUAAUAUUUUCCAGAAUGUAUUGAUAAAGUUUAUUAUCAGUCUAUUGUUGUUGUUGUUGUUAUAGUAGUUGUUUUGAACAUUGCCAGUAAAAUUUCAAUUUUCUAAAUAAUUUACUGUUGCAAUGAAAUCCAGCGCUAGAUUUAAUGAAGAAAGAAGAAGUGCAGGCCAUUAUAGGACCUCAAUGGUCAGCACAAGCUAGGUUUGUGAUAGAACUUGGUCGUAAAACUCAGGUUCCCACCAUUUCCUUUUCAGCCACAAGUCCUUCUCUUUCUCCAUCCCAAAACAAGUUUUUCUUGCGCACAGCCCAAGAUGACUCCGCACAAGUUAAAGCCAUAGCAGACAUUGUUAAGGCCUUUGGUUGGCCGGAAAUUGUCCUUAUUUACGAAGACACAGAGUAUGGCAAUAGUUUGAUUCCACAUUUAAUGGAAGCUUUACAAGUGAUUGACACUCGGGUCCUUCAUAGAUGUGUCAUUCCUCCAUCUUCUAAUAGUACGGAAAUCAUUAAAGAGCUUAAUAAGUUAAAGGCAUAUCACAGAAGAAUAUUUCUUGUUCACAUGACUGUUUCACUUGGCUCCAAACUCUUUGCACUUGCAAAGAAUGCAGAAAUGAUGAGUGAAGGGUAUGCAUGGAUGGUCACAGAUGGUUUAUCAUCUUUGCUAGAUCCUAUGAGCUCAAAGGUCAUGGACUCAAUGCAAGGUGUAUUGGGAAUAAGGCCAUACUUAACCCCAUCUAAACAUCUAGAAGAUUUUAAAAGAAAAUGGAAGAGAAGUUUAACCUCAAUCCAGGCAAAGAUCAAGAGUACUACUAGCUUAAACCUGUUUGGAUUAUGGGCAUAUGAUACAAUUUGGGCAUUGGCUAUGGCAGUGGAGAAGGCUGGCAUGCAUUCCAGCUUCUUCAAGCAAAAUGUUAGCGGUUGUAAUGCUGAUCUGGCAGCUUUAGACAUUUUUGAAAAUGGUACAAGGCUUCGCAAUACAAUUGUAAAUACUACAUUUGAAGGCCUAAGCGGGAAUUUUGGUUUGGUUAAUGGGCAGUUGGAGCCUUCAACCUUUGAAGUAUUCAAUGUGAUAGGAAAAACCGAGAUAAAUAUUGGAUAUUGGACCCCACAGAGAGGAUUUUCCAAAGAUUUAAAGGAUACUAGUGAAAAGGCAUACUCGACCUCAAAGGACAAACUUAAACCACUGAUUUGGCCAGGAUACACAAUACACCAACCUCCUUCAAGGUUAAGGAUUGGGGUUCCAGUGAAAAAUGGUUUUAAACAAUUCGUGAAGUUGGAAUGGAAAUCUUCUACUGAUGAUUCGCCUAAUGUCUCAGGAUUUUCCAUUGAUGUGUUCAAUGCUGUACUAGUUUCAUUGCCCUUCCCCCUUCAUUAUGAGUUUAUUCCCUAUAUGAAUAAACAAAGGCAGAGCAAUGGGACAUACGAUCAACUUCUUUACGAGAUUAAGACUAAGAAGUAUGAUGCAGUUAUUGGAGACACAACAAUUAUUGCUAAUCGCUCCAUGUAUGUUGAUUUCACUUUGCCUUAUACGGAAUCAGGCGUGCAAAUGGUGGUUUCGGUAAAGCAUGAUGAGAGAAAAAGCUUGUGGAUCUUUUUAAAGCCACUAAGCUUGAAUUUAUGGCUAACAACUGGCGUAGCGUUUAUCUUUACAGGUUUGGUCAUAUGGGUUCUUGAACAUCGUGUAAACACUGAGUUUCGAGGCCCUCCAGAGCAACAACUUGGCUUGAUUUUCUGGUUCUCCUUCUCUACACUUGCCUUUGCUCACAGGGAGAAAGUGGUAAAUAAUUGGUCAAGAUUUGUGCUAGUCAUAUGGAUUUUCUUGGUACUCAUCCUAACUCAAAGUUAUACUGCUAACCUAACCUCAAUAUUAACAGUACAGAGAUUGAAACCUACAUUUGUUGACGUAAAUGAGAUUAUAAAGAAUGGUUAUUUUGUUGGAUAUCAAAAUAAUUCCUUCGUUAAGGAGCUUCUAAAAGAACAGUUAGAUAUCCAUGAGUCCAAGUUGAAACCAUAUGAGACCCUUGAAGAGUAUCAUGAAGCACUGUCAAACGGAACUCACAAUGGUGGGGUUGCAGCUAUCUUUGAUGAAAUCCCUUAUUUAAAGAUCUUCCUUGCAAAUUAUCCCUCCAAGUAUGCUACAGUUGGACCCCUCUACCAAACCGGUGGAUUUGGCUUUGCAUUCCCACAAGGAUCUCCUUUUGUCCCUCACAUGUCGAGGGCAAUCUUGAAUGUCACACAAAAUAGAUUGAAAAUUCAAGCAAUUGAGAAUAAGUACUUUUCAAGUCAGCUUACCUAUGAAGAUCAAAACACCGGAAUCUCUCCAGAUAGUCAUAGUCUUGGUGUGGACAGUUUUAGGGGCCUCUUCCUUAUCGCUGGAAUCGCUUCUAUGGUCUCACUCUUGGUUUAUGUGUUUAAGUUAUUUUACUCACAUUGGCCUAUUUUGAGCGACAACAAUCCUGCUGACUCUUGCUGGUCCAAAUUAGUUAAAAUGGCAAAACAUUUUGACCAGAAAGAUCUCUCUUCACAUACCUUUAAGGGAGAAGAAUCAAGGAUAUAUGUCGUAGCAAGUCCUGAGGCACUUGGUAUUGAUGACAUGCAGAAUCACACAAGGAAUUCCACAGAAGGAUCAGAUGAAGUGGUUAUAGACGAUGACAAUGAUAGUCUUUCUUCAAGUUCAAGGCAUGGUGAUGCAUCUAUGUAGGAUGUACCCAAUUCAUCAUAGACAUGGUUUUCUACCUAAAUCUUUAAGAGAUGAACUCAUUUCCCUAAGCUGGGUUCAUAAUUUAUUACCUGAAAAUUAUGUAAAAUAUAUCAUAUGCAAUGUAAUAAAAUAUAACAGUCUUAUCAAUCUUGAUUACAUUGAUUGACUAUCUUCUUUUUGU